UCUUUUUCCACCGGAGCUUGCUCCACCGGAAAAAGAGGAGUGGCGAACGGGUGAGUAACACGUGGGUAACCUGCCCAUCAGAAGGGGAUAACACUUGGAAACAGGUGCUAAUACCGUAUAACAAUCGAAACCGCAUGGUUUUGAUUUGAAAGGCGCUUUCGGGUGUCGCUGAUGGAUGGACCCGCGGUGCAUUAGCUAGUUGGUGAGGUAACGGCUCACCAAGGCCACGAUGCAUAGCCGACCUGAGAGGGUGAUCGGCCACAUUGGGACUGAGACACGGCCCAAACUCCUACGGGAGGCAGCAGUAGGGAAUCUUCGGCAAUGGACGAAAGUCUGACCGAGCAACGCCGCGUGAGUGAAGAAGGUUUUCGGAUCGUAAAACUCUGUUGUUAGAGAAGAACAAGGAUGAGAGUAACUGUUCAUCCCUUGACGGUAUCUAACCAGAAAGCCACGGCUAACUACGUGCCAGCAGCCGCGGUAAUACGUAGGUGGCAAGCGUUGUCCGGAUUUAUUGGGCGUAAAGCGAGCGCAGGCGGUUUCUUAAGUCUGAUGUGAAAGCCCCCGGCUCAACCGGGGAGGGUCAUUGGAAACUGGGAGACUUGAGUGCAGAAGAGGAGAGUGGAAUUCCAUGUGUAGCGGUGAAAUGCGUAGAUAUAUGGAGGAACACCAGUGGCGAAGGCGG
rnacentral:rRNA from 1 species